rnacentral:rRNA from 1 species
GGCCGCGGGAAUUAGAUAAAGGCCUAACACAUGCAAGUCGAACGCCCCGCAAGGGGAGUGGCAGACGGGUGAGUAACGCGUGGGAACGUGCCCUUCGCUUCAGGAUAGCCCCGGGAAGCUGGGAGUAAUACUGGAUACGCCGUAUUGGGAAAGAUUUAUCGGCGAAGGAUCGGCCCGCGUUAGAUUAGGUAGUUGGCGGUGUAAUGGACCACCAAGCCUACGAUCUAUAGCUGGUCUGAGAGGAUGAUCAGCCACACUGGGACUGAGACACGGCCCAGACUCCUACGGGAGGCAGCAGUGGGGAAUCUUUAAAAGGGGGCGCAAGCCUGAUCC